rnacentral:rRNA from 1 species
AUUGAACGCUGGCGGCAUGCUUUACACAUGCAAGUCGGACGGCAGCACAGAGAAGCUUGCUUCUUGGGUGGCGAGUGGCGAACGGGUGAGUAAUAUAUCGGAACGUACCGAGUAAUGGGGGAUAACUAAUCGAAAGAUUAGCUAAUACCGCAUAUUCUCUGAGGAGGAAAGCAGGGGACCUUCGGGCCUUGCGUUAUUCGAGCGGCCGAUAUCUGAUUAGCUAGUUGGUGGGGUAAAGGCCUACCAAGGCGACGAUCAGUAGCGGGUCUGAGAGGAUGAUCCGCCACACUGGGACUGAGACACGGCCCAGACUCCUACGGGAGGCAGCAGUGGGGAAUUUUGGACAAUGGGCGCAAGCCUGAUCCAGCCAUGCCGCGUGUCUGAAGAAGGCCUUCGGGUUGUAAAGGACUUUUGUCAGGGAAGAAAAGGCUGUUGCUAAUACCGACAGCUGAUGACGGUACCUGAAGAAUAAGCACCGGCUAACUACGUGCCAGCAGCCGCGGUAAUACGUAGGGUGCGAGCGUUAAUCGGAAUUACUGGGCGUAAAGCGAGCGCAGACGGUUACUUAAGCAGGAUGUGAAAUCCCCGGGCUCAACCUGGGAACUGCGUUCUGAACUGGGUGACUAGAGUGUGUCAGAGGGAGGUAGAAUUCCACGUGUAGCAGUGAAAUGCGUAGAGAUGUGGAGGAAUACCGAUGGCGAAGGCAGCCUCCUGGGAUAACACUGACGUUCAUGCUCGAAAGCGUGGGUAGCAAACAGGAUUAGAUACCCUGGUAGUCCACGCCCUAAACGAUGUCAAUUAGCUGUUGGGCAACUUGAUUGCUUAGUAGCGUAGCUAAC